rnacentral:tRNA from 1 species
AAGAUUUUAAGUUAAAUUAAACUAAUUACCUUCAAAGUAAAAAUUAUUUUUAUAAUAAAUCUUAUUA